UACGUAGGGUGCGAGCGUUAAUCGGAAUUACUGGGCGUAAAGGGUGCGCAGGCGGUUAUAUAAGACAGAUGUGAAAUCCCCGGGCUCAACCUGGGAACUGCGUUUGUGACUGUAUGACUAGAGUACGGUAGAGAGGGGUGGAAUUCCUGGUGUAGCAGUGAAAUGCGUAGAUAUCAGGAGGAACACCGGUGGCGAAGGCGGCCUUCUGGGCCGGUACUGACGCUGAGGAGCGAAAGCUAGGGGAGCGAACAGG
rnacentral:rRNA from 1 species